rnacentral:rRNA from 1 species
UUGCAGUGAAUACGUUCCCGGGUCUUGUACACACCGCCCGUCAAACCAUGAAAGUGACCAACACCCGAAGUCCGAUUCGUCGGCCUAAGGUGGGGGGCAUGAUUGGGGUU